CUGGAAUUAAAAUAACAUAUAUUUAGUCAUAUUGGUGCAUAUCUUUCAACUGUCUCCUGCUUAGCUUUUAGUUUUGAACUUUCCCAUAGAAAUCACUUUCAGUGCUUGAGAACUAUGUUCUUCCUUGAAGCAGAAACAUUAGAAAGAAAAAUAUCUCUGCCUUGGUAAACGCGAUGAGAGAACAUGGAUAUGUCUGAAGCAAUACUGAUACUUAGNUAAGGCGAGCGGAGGAGCUAGCUAGGCAGGGAGAGGUCUCCUGUGCGGAGCUGCUGUGGCGCUGGCCGCGCGGUGAUCCUCUCCCUGGCGGACCGGGAGGGUUGGCGACCAGCGGCUCCAGGACGGGACGGGCGCGUCGGCGUAGGGGAGAGAACAGCAGGCGGACGACAAGCAGCCGACUCCGCUCCCUUCAGGCGGCUCCCGCUCGCGGUGACGUCAGCGCCCCGCUCCUCAGUCGGCGGUGCGGGGCGGUGCGGAGCGGAGCGCCCGGGACUCCGCGCGCGGUAAGCAGCCGUCGCGCCGCAGAAGGGCCGCCCGGCGCCGCCUCCUCCCCUCCGUCCCUCCCUUCUUCAGUGCCGGCUGGCCUCCGCGCUGCCUCAUGUUCGGGCUGGAGAAGCCGCCGGGGCAGCAAAAGCUGGGCAGGAGCAGUGGGUUCCCGAACAUGGCGUCCGUGGGGGAUUUUAACGUGCUCAGCUCCAGCAUCCCGGCCACCAAGGUAGAGCUCUCCGUGUCCUGCAGAAAUCUUUUGGACAGAGAUACAUUUUCUAAAUCUGAUCCAAGUAAGUAUGUACCGUUUUACUGCUUUUUCCUCAUCAUAUAUUUCAAAUGUGUAAACACUGGAUUAAAAAUGAGAUUAGUGGAUUAAUUUGAUGUCUGCUGGGUUUACUUUGUCUUUGCGACAGUUAUUUAAUGCAGUGCUGGCUGUGCUUAUAGCCCCUGUUACAGGAACUGGAAUUUUAAAGACUCUGUAAUCACUACUGCAUUCCUAACUGUGCUGUCCCUUAGUCAAGCAGUCAAGCUACAGUUUCUUAAAAUAAGU
rnacentral:lncRNA from 1 species